GCUGGAGUGGGGAGGCUGCUGGCUCAGCUCUUGGAGCUGGAGGGAAGAGAGCCCUACCCAGGUCUGGAACCAGCGCGGAUUCCAGGCUGAGUCACUCAAACAUCUGGAAUCACUGAGGCAACGCCCCAGACCCGAAAGCCGCUCCGCAUUCUUGCCUGCGUUCCUAUUGGAGAGGCCCCCGGGCCCCAUCUCCUCCACCCCACUGCACCCCCCUCCCAUCUGCAUCAUCCCCAUUACCGCCACCUCGUCCCUGGUUUGGUGCAAGGGCUCCAUGGCUCCGCCCCUUGGGGGCCACUGCUUCGGCCUCCCGUUGGCCAGAGGGGCAGCCCCGCCGCCCCGCACACGCAACUUGCACCCCCACCACCAAUGGCCAAAGAGCAGCAAAGCGAGGCUACAAUCCAUAUAAGGGCAAAUGAAGAAAAGGGCCAGGUGGCAUCUUGGAGGCAGGUCUAGAACCGUUCUCGCAGGGUCCACUAGGAUCCCACCGGGAAUGGAGGAGGGCGAGUCACCCUUGCCUUGGGAGCCGCGGCCUUCAUCUGGAUCAAAACCAUCUGCCCCGUUCGGUUUUGGCUAAAACCCCCUUGGGAUGGGAGGAGGGGCCUUCCCCAAGGGAGCAGCGACCGGGCAUUUCUUUGCAAAGGAACCUCAGUUUUGCAGCUUGCUUCUCCAGCUUCGAGGCGCAAAAGGCCUGGUCUGGGGGCCUCCCAGCAAGGCACACCCCCCCCAGCUCACUGAGGCUGCUGUAUUGACAGCAAGCCCCUUUGAGCUACUUGGAGACUUGAAAUAAACC